rnacentral:rRNA from 1 species
UAGGGAAUCUUCGGCAAUGGGGGGAACCCUGACCGAGCAACGCCGCGUGAGUGAAGAAGGUUUUCGGAUCGUAAAGCUCUGUUGUUAAGGAAGAACGAGUGUGAGAAUGGAAAGUUCAUGCUGUGACGGUACUUAACCAGAAAGGGACGGCUAACUACGUGCCAGCAGCCGCGGUAAUACGUAGGUCCCGAGCGUUGUCCGGAUUUAUUGGGCGUAAAGCGAGCGCAGGCGGUUAGAUAAGUCUGAAGUGAAAGGCAGUGGCUCAACCAUUGUAGGCUUUGGAAACUGUUUAACUUGAGUGCAGAAGGGGAGAGUGGAAUUCCAUGUGUAGCGGUGAAAUGCGUAGAUAUAUGGAGGAACACCAGUGGCGAAGGCGACUCUCUGGUCUGUAACUGACGCUGAGGCUCGAAAGCGUGGGUAGCAAACAGG